rnacentral:rRNA from 1 species
GUGCAGCAGCCGCGGUAAUACGGAGGAUCCAAGCGUUAUCCGGAAUCAUUGGGUUUAAAGGGUCCGUAGGCGGUCUGGUAAGUCAGAGGUGAAAUCCUGCAGCUCAACUGUAGCAUUGCCUUUGAUACUGCCAGACUUGAGUUAUUGUGAAGUAGUUAGAAUGUGUAGUGUAGCGGUGAAAUGCAUAGAUAUUACACAGAAUACCGAUUGCGAAAGCAGAUUACUAACAAUAUACUGACGCUGAGGGACGAAAGCUAGGGUAGCAAAUGGGAUUAGAUA